AGCAGCAUGGCGCAGAUGGAAGCGCGCGGGGCCCAUAUGCGUAUUGGCGUUGUCCAACCCCGAGGUCACUCGAUCGAAACGAGUUGCUGCUA